rnacentral:rRNA from 1 species
GAUCAUUAAAGAGUAGUUUUUUACAACAACUCCAAACCCAUGUGAACUUACCUAUGUUGCCUCGGCGGGGAGACCUACCCGGUAGUUACCCUGUAGAGCUACCCGUCGACGGACCAUCAAACUCUGUUUUUCUAUGAAACUUCUGAGUGUUUUAACUUAAUAAAUUAAAACUUUCAACAACGGAUCUCUUGGUUCUGGCAUCGAUGAAGAACGCAGCGAAAUGCGAUAAGUAAUGUGAAUUGCAGAAUUCAGUGAAUCAUCGAAUCUUUGAACGCACAUUGCGCCCAUUAGUAUUCUAGUGGGCAUGCCUGUUCGAGCGUCAUUUCGACCAUCAAGCCCUAUUUGCUUGGCGUUGGGAGCUUACCCUGCAGCUGCGGGAUAACUCCUCAAAUAUAUUGGCAGAGUCGCGAAGACCCUAAGCGUAGUAAUUCUUCUCGCUUCAGCAGUGUUGACGCUGGCAUCUAGCCACUAAACCCCUAAUUU